GCUCCCGUAGCUCAGUGGAUAGAGCACUCGCCUCCUAAGCGAGGGGUCGGCAGUUCGACCCUGCCCGGGAGUGCCA
rnacentral:tRNA from 1 species